CCCUCCGGGGGUGUCCGACUCCGCUCCCGAGGUCCCCGAGGUCUGCUGCGGGCCCUGGCGGCGCGCCCGUCCCGUGCUGCGAGCGGUAACUGGCUCGCCAGCCUCACAUCCUUGCGGUCCGGGAGCAAGAUCUCGGGUAUCGCCAAGACCCGGGGUUACCCCUUGGGAAAAGCAACUUGAAUUCUGACACUCCACCCUCGGGCUGAAUUGCAACUCACUAAAUAAAUGUAAUAGAAGCAAGGAAAACAGCGAGACUUCUCUUUUAGGAUCUGGGAGCCCUUUCUCCACAGACAAGCAGAUAGUGAGAAGUGAGAUGAACAUAAUGCGGUGAUUGGAGUGAACAAUAUGGUAUAUAGCCCAUAAAUAAAGUGCUUCCUGCGCCUAA